GGGGCUGUAGCUCAGUGGUAGAGCGCUUGCCUCACAUGCAUGAGGCCCUGAGUUCAAUCCUUAGCAUCACA
rnacentral:tRNA from 1 species